UACAAUGCUUUGAACCUUCGGGUGACUUCA
rnacentral:piRNA from 1 species